UACAGAGGGUGCAAGCGUUAAUCGGAAUUACUGGGCGUAAAGCGUGCGCAGUCGGUUAUUUAAGUCGGAUGUGAAAUCCCCGGGCUCAACCUGGGAAUUGCAUUCGAUACUGGAUGGCUAGAGUUCGGCAGAGGGAGGUGGAAUUUCAGGUGUAGCGGUGAAAUGCGUAGAUAUCUGAAGGAACAUCAGUGGCGAAAGCGACUUCCUGGACCAGAACUGACGAUCAGGCACGAAAGCGUGGGGAGCAAACAGG
rnacentral:rRNA from 1 species